GGUUGUGGCUCAGAGGUAGAGCGCUUGCCUGGCAUGCAUGAAGCACUGGAUUCGAUCCUCAGCACCA
rnacentral:tRNA from 1 species